CCCAGCCAAGAAGAAAAAGCUGCAAGAGAAGUAGAGAACAAGGAAGCAUCAGGUCUAUUAUUUUGUCACCUCUCCGUUCACAGAAUGCUUCUGUGAGAAGAAAUAUCAUCUGCACAGUACUGAAAGGAGAAGACUCCAAGGCAAGAUGAGAUACACAGGUCUCGUAGCCUGGGACAGAAGCAGCAGCGAGUGGGACAAGGAGGAGAUUCUGCUGGAGGCGAGGUGCUGAAUGUCCAUGCUGCAGAGCACACAGAGAAAAUCCUACUAUUUUGGAGUUUGUUUAUUGAACGGUUGAAGACAGACUACCUUUUCAUGCUUGUCCACAGAAGGGGAAAACAGAUGAAGCUGAGCAAAUACCUGUUUAGACAUGCCCUUGUGGACGGUGUUUCAUAAGGGUGGUUACAGUCAGUAACCAGAGGCACACCAUCCGUUCAUGUGGGUAACAAACAGGGAGGUUUUGAAGGAAAAUCACAUUCUCCCUCUGUUGCCAUGACAGCCUUAUGAAAAAUAUAACAAAAGAUAACACAACCAACAAACUCAGGAUGUGAAAUUCCAAUGAAGUCAGGAUAUUGUUUGAUAGACUGGCUCAGUAAUUCAAUAAGAGCCACCGUCUUCAAAAUUCAUACAUACAUAGACCAUUGUUAGUGUAAGAAAAUGCACCAGAGAGAAGUGCUGCCUGCUCCAGUUCAGUGUUCAUGGAGAACACUGAGAGAGAGGGAGUAGAAACAAGGCUUUUUGAGGUAGUCUUCCUUUUCUUGACCGUAGAAAUGUUCAGAGUCCUUACUGAAUGUGCCAUUCUGUCACCCUGACUAGAUUUCUGUCUGAUUUUUCACAUUUUAAUACCCGUAGUGCUAGAUAGACUUCACCCUCACUCAAAAUUACCAGCUAUUAGGCACCAAUUUUUUAGCACUCAGAACAAGAGCCCAACAGGAGGUCAAAUACUUUUCUCUCUACAGAAAAUCACUGCAGAGAAGUGGCUAAUUAGAGCCAGGACACAAGAAAACCUCCACCUUUAAAGUACUUAGAUGGAGUGGAACCUUCACCUACUGCCAGAUUGAAGGUCCUCUGCCAGCUGACUUCCAGCUGUGCCUUAUAUUUGAUAAAGUUCAUAGCACCUAGAGCUUUAAUUCAUGUUUAAGUGAGCCCAGGUCUACACAGCCCAGGAACUGAACCAGUGGUACAUAUUCAGGAGGAGAGGUAAGGGAUAUUCUUUCCCUUCCAGGGCUCUCUCUGAACCCUACAGGGUGAAGGCAGAAAUUAACCUGCUGGGACUUCAGCUGUAGCCUAGUAGCUUGAUAUCUCACCAUGGUAGUCAAAAAAAGCAGCAAGAACUUGUCUCAUCAUCCUGAGGGAAGACUCUAAACAUCAUAUCAUCUUCUAAAGAAGGAUACCUUCAGAUCAAUCAGACCUGUAGCUACCACUUUGGCUGAAGGGCCUCCUUGAAACUUUAGGUCACAUGUCUGAGCUCCAGACAAAUGUAUAGUUUCAAGCAAGUUUUCUGACAGAAUGCCAUUUUCCAGGCAUUCUGCAAUGAGGUAACAUGUACUGAACAUGCUGCUAUAUUGAC